rnacentral:rRNA from 1 species
GACGAACGCUGGCGGCGUGCUUAACACAUGCAAGUCGAACGGAAAGGCCCUGCUUUUGUGGGGUGCUCGAGUGGCGAACGGGUGAGUAACACGUGAGUAACCUGCCCUUGACUUUGGGAUAACUUCAGGAAACUGGGGCUAAUACCGGAUAGGAGCUCCUGCUGCAUGGUGGGGGUUGGAAAGUUUCGGCGGUUGGGGAUGGACUCGCGGCUUAUCAGCUUGUUGGUGGGGUAGUGGCUUACCAAGGCUUUGACGGGUAGCCGGCCUGAGAGGGUGACCGGCCACAUUGGGACUGAGAUACGGCCCAGACUCCUACGGGAGGCAACAGUGGGGAAUAUUGCACAAUGGGCGGAAGCCUGAUGCAGCAACGCCGCGUGCGGGAUGACGGCCUUCGGGUUGUAAACCGCUUCCGCCUGUGACGAAGCGUGAGUGACGGUAAUGGGUAAAGAAGCACCGGCUAACUACGU